GUGUCAGCCGCCGCGGUAAUACGGAGGGUGCAAGCGUUGUUCGGAAUCACUGGGCGUAAAGCGCGUGUAGGCGGCCUUCUCAGUCUGGUGUGAAAGCCCGGGGCUCACCCCCGGAAGUGCAUUGGAUACUGGAAGGCUGGAGUACCGGAGAGGAGGGUGGAAUUCCUGGUGUAGCGGUGAAAUGCGUAGAUAUCAGGAGGAACACCGGUGGCGAAGGCGGCCCUCUGGACGGAUACUGACGCUGAGACGCGACAGCGUGGGGAGCAAACAGGAUUAGAUACCCUGGUAGUCCACGCCGUAAACGAUGGGUACUAGGUGUUCGGGGUAUUGACCCCCUGAGUGCCGCAGCUAACGCAUUAAGUACCCCGCCUGGGGACUACGGCCGCAAGGCUAAA
rnacentral:rRNA from 1 species